ACACAGAUAGCUCAGUUGGUAAAGCAUGAGACUCUUAAUCUCAGGGUUGUGGGUUCAAGCCCCAUGUUGGGCA